GUCCAAGCCUCUGCACGUGCUGGCUUGUUUGGCUUUAUUUUGGAAACAAACCAACAUCUCUCAUUAGCACUGACACAGCAGGGGCCCCCUACUGCCACCUGACAAUCCAGCGUCACUUACGCUGCACCCAUGCAGGCCACGCCUUCAGUGGCCGCAGCACGCUAGCCCAGAGUUAGCCACACAGAAACACACUUCUCACCGCACAAAACUCCCUUUUGAAAAAACCAAGCAAUCACCAGGUCGGAGGAGAAUCACUAGCUCCCUACAGCAAGAGGGGACAAAGCUUGGUGGCAGAGGCCCAGGUCCCUGUGGCCCCUCCCGGUGGGGUGAAGGUGACCAGGACUCCUUGGGAUUGCGCGGCUGCAGCCGGGACGCUGCCAGGGCCUCCUCUGCGGCUGAGAGAUGGAAGGGAUCCUUCCCGACGCCCACAGAUAUCUCCCCACAAACCUAAACAAUUUCGAGAGGGACUUGUGUUCUGCAACCAGUCACAGAAUAUCAGGUGAGCUGGGCGUGUCUUCACCGACCCACCCGCCCAGGGACGCUGCACUCCUCUC
rnacentral:lncRNA from 1 species